UUUACCUUCAGCAGUCCAGAAUAUUAGUCAAUGCUCGAAAGAGUGAACUAGCUAACUGAAAUCAAUUAUAAUAAUUGAUAACAUAAGGGAAAAUAAUGAUAUUACCUUAUUAUUAGUGUCGUCCAAAUCUGGUGCCAGAAGACUCGGUAAGGCCAGAGACACAAACGUUAAUCGUCUUAAUCAGGCGUAAAGGGUUUGUAGGCAGUUUUAAAAAUUUAAUUUAAUUUAAUUUUAUAAUUAAAGAAUAAAAACUAGAAUCAAAAAGAGGAUAUAUUAAAGAAUGCUUAGAGUAGGUCUGAUAUCUUUAGAUACUAAGUAGAAUAUUAAAGGCGAAAGCUUUUUUCCAUUAAUGAUUGACGCUCAGAAACGAAGGUGAGGAUAGGAAAUAGGAUUAGAUACCCAAAAUACCCCUCUCUGUCAACGAUGAAUGGUAAUUAUUAGUAAAAAUUCUUAUUAAUAAUAAUGUUAACACAAUAACCAUUCCGCCUUGUGAGUACAACUGCAAAGUUGAAAACAAAAAAAUUAGUCGGUUUCGGAGCAAACGAAGUGAAGCAUGUUAUUUAAUUCGAUAAUCCGCAAGAAGAUAC
rnacentral:rRNA from 1 species